rnacentral:rRNA from 1 species
UACGUAGGGGGCAAGCGUUGUUCGGAUUCAUUGGGCGUAAAGGGUGCGUAGGCGGCGCGGUAAGUCGGGUGUGAAAUCUUGGAGCUUAACUCCGAAACUGCAUUCGAUACUGCCGUGCUUGAGGACUGGAGAGGAGACUGGAAUUUACGGUGUAGCGGUGAAAUGCGUAGAUAUCGUAAGGAAGACCAGUGGCGAAGGCGGGUCUCGUGGACAGUUCCUGACGCUGAGGCACGAAGGCCAGGGGAGCAAACGGG